GUAAGGAGCGGUGGAGCGGUUGGAAGUGAGCAUGCAGGCAUGAGUAGCGAUAAAAUACGUGAGAAUCGUAUUCGCCGUAAACCCAAGGUUUCCUACGCGAUGCUCGUCAUCGUAGGGUUAGUCGGGUCCUAAGCAAAGUCCGAAAGGGGUAUGCGAUGGAAAAUCGGUUAAUAUUCCGAUACCGAUAUCAGUGUGCGACGGAAGGACGCUUAAAGUUAGUGGAGCUAGCGGAUGGAAGUGCUAGUCUAAGGAAGUAGGUUGAGUUAUAGGCAAAUCCGUAACUCUUUAUCCGAGAUCUGAAAGGCUUCUGACGCUCUUCGGAGUAGAUGAAGAAUCCAUGAUACUAUCGAGCCGAGAAAAGUUUCUAAGUUUAGCUGAUAUCGCCCGUACCGUAAACCGACACAGGUGGGUGGGAUGAGUAUUCUAAGGCGCGUGGAAGAACUCUCUUUAAGGAACUCUGCAAAAUAGCACCGUAUCUUCGGUAUAAGGUGUGCCUAGCUUCGUUAAGAAUUUACUUCGUAAGCGAAGAAGGUUACAACAAAGAGUCCCUCCCGACUGUUUACCAUAAACACAGCACUCUGCUAACUCGUAAGAGGAUGUAUAGGGUGUGACGCCUGCCCGGUGCUCGAAGGUUAAUUGAUGAUGUUAGCUUAUGCAAAGCAUCUGAUCGAAGCCCGAGUAAACGGCGGCCGUAACUAUAACGGUCCUAAGGUAGCGAAAUUCCUUGUCGGUUAAAUACCGACCUGCAUGAAUGGCGUAACGAGAUGGGAGCUGUCUCAAAGAGGGAUCCAGUGAAAUUGUAGUGGAGGUGAAAAUUCCUCCUACCCGCGGCAAGACGGAAAGACCCCGUGGACCUUUACUAUAGCUUGACACUGCUACUUGGAUAAAGAUGCGCAGGAUAGGUGGGAGGCUUUGAGUCGUAGAUCUCGGUUUACGAUGAGCCAUUGUUGAGAUACCACUCUUCUUUAUUCGGGUAGCUAACUAGCCUAAGUUAUCCUUAGGUAGGACAAUGUCUGGUGGGUAGUUUGACUGGGGCGGUCGCCUCCCAAAAUGUAACGGAGGCUUACAAAGGUUGGCUCAAAGCGGUUGGAAAUCGCUUGCAGAGUAUAAAGGCAAAAGCCAGCUUAACUGCGAGACAUACACGUCGAGCAGAGACGAAAGUCGGUCUUAGUGAUCCGGUGGUUCUGUGUGGAAGGGCCAUCGCUCAAAGGAUAAAAGGUACCCCGGGGAUAACAGGCUGAUCUCCCCCAAGAGCUCACAUCGACGGGGAGGUUUGGCACCUCGAUGUCGGCUCAUCGCAUCCUGGGGCUGGAGCAGGUCCCAAGGGUAUGGCUGUUCGCCAUUUAAAGCGGUACGCGAGCUGGGUUCAGAACGUCGUGAGACAGUUCGGUCCCUAUCUGCCGUGGGCGUAAGAAGAUUGAGGAGAGUUGACCCUAGUACGAGAGGACCGGGUUGAACCGACCACUGGUGUACCGGUUGUUCUGCCAAGAGCACCGCCGGGUAGCUAAGUCGGGAUGCGAUAAGAGCUGAAAGCAUCUAAGCUCGAAGCCGACUCCAAGAUGAAUCUUCUUUUAAGAGCUCUAGUAGACUACUAGUUUGAUAGGCCGGAUGUGUAAUGGAUGAAAGUCCUUUAGCUGACCGGUACUAAUAGCUCGUUUGCUUAUCUU
rnacentral:rRNA from 1 species